rnacentral:ncRNA from 1 species
GAACGCCUUAUGAGGGGAAACUCUCACGUAGGGUGUGGAGUGGGGGAAAACUAGGAGAUAACAUCAAAUAGUUACCUAUCACUAU